rnacentral:rRNA from 1 species
AUUGAACGCUGGCGGCAUGCCUUACACAUGCAAGUCGAACGGCAGCAUGAUCUAGCUUGCUAGAUUGAUGGCGAGUGGCGAGCGGGUGAGUAAUACAUCGGAACGUGCCCUGUAGUGGGGGAUAACUAGUCGAAAGAUUAGCUAAUACCGCAUACGACCUGAGGGUGAAAGUGGGGGACCGCAGGGCCUCAUGCUAUAGGAGCGGCCGAUGUCUGAUUAGCUAGUUGGUGGGGUAAAGGCCCACCAAGGCGACGAUCAGUAGCUGGUCUGAGAGGACGAUCAGCCACACUGGGACUGAGACACGGCCCAGACUCCUACGGGAGGCAGCAGUGGGGAAUUUUGGACAAUGGGGGCAACCCUGAUCCAGCAAUGCCGCGUGUGUGAAGAAGGCCUUCGGGUUGUAAAGCACUUUUGUCCGGAAAGAAAUCGCACUUACUAAUAUUAGGUGUGGAUGACGGUACCGGAAGAAUAAGGACCGGCUAACUACGUGCCAGCAGCCGCCGUAA